GACGAACGCUAGGCGGCGUGCCUAACACAUGCAAGUCGAACGGGGUGAAGAGCUUCGGCUUUUCACUUAGUGGCGAACGGGUGAGUAACGCGUGAGAAACCUGCCUUUCAGUGGGGGACAACAGUUGGAAACGACUGCUAAUACCGCAUAACGUAUCGAGGGGGCAUCCUCUUGAUACCAAAGCUUUAUGUGCUGAAAGAUGGUCUCGCGUCUGAUUAGCUAGAUGGCGGGGUAACGGCCCACCAUGGCGACGAUCAGUAGCCGGUCUGAGAGGAUGAACGGCCACAUUGGGACUGAGAUACGGCCCAG
rnacentral:rRNA from 1 species